UUUAAUUGUCGUUGCAACAUUAAUUGCGAACCGUGUCAGAUUGGAAACAAAGCAGCACUAAGCAUCUAUUAAUGUGUGCAACGACUUUUGUUUUUUUG
rnacentral:SRP_RNA from 1 species